rnacentral:rRNA from 1 species
UACGAGGGGGGCGAGCGUUGUUCGGAAUUAUUGGGCGUAAAGGGUGCGUAGGCGGUUUGGUAAGUCUGAGUGUGAAAUCUAUGGGCUCAACUCAUAGUCUGCAUCGGAAACUGCCGGGCUUGAGUGUGGGAGAGGUGAGUGGAAUUCCUGGUGUAGCGGUGAAAUGCGUAGAUAUCAGGAGGAACACCUGUGGCGAAAGCGGCUCCACUGGACCAUAACUGACGCUGAUGCACGAAAGCUAGGGGAGCAAACAGG